UACGGAGGGAGCUAGCGUUGUUCGGAUAUACUGGGCGUAAAGCGCACGUAGGCGGCGCCGUAAGUCAGGGGUGAAAUCCCGGAGCUCAACUCCGGAACUGCCCUUGAUACUGGUAGUCUCGAGUCCGGAAGAGGUGAGUGGAAUUCCGAGUGUAGAGGUGAAAUUCGUAGAUAUUCGGAGGAACACCAGUGGCGAAGGCGGCUCACUGGUCCGGUACUGACGCUGAGGUGCGAAAGCGUGGGGAGCAAACAGG
rnacentral:rRNA from 1 species